GAGCUGUACUAUGCCGGAAUGUUCCACAUUCAAUUAUAAAGUUUUAUACAUAUGAAAGCUUGAAGCAGUUGAUGUUGUCUUCACAAAAUCUGAAUGCGCAACCUAACACGUUACAAACACUAGUUUGUGGAGGACUGGCAGGAUCCACUGCUGCCUGCUGCUUUAUUCACAACUCCUUUUGAUGUGGUGAAGACUAGACUACAGACGCAGAUUCCUGGUUCCAUGAACCAAUAUGAC
rnacentral:misc_RNA from 1 species